rnacentral:rRNA from 1 species
AGUGAACGCUGGCGGUAUGCCUAACACAUGCAAGUCGAACGGCAGCACAGUAAGAGCUUGCUCUUACGGGUGGCGAGUGGCGGACGGGUGAGGAAUACAUCGGAAUCUACUUUUUCGUGGGUGAUAACGUAGGGAAACUUACGCUAAUACCUCAUACGACCUACGGCUGAAAGCAGGGGAUCUUCGGACCUUGCGCGAUUGAAUUAGCCGAUGUCGGAUUAGCUAGUUGGCGGGGUAAAGGCCCACCAAGGCGACGAUCCGUAGCUGGUCUGAGAGGAUGAUCGGCCACACUGGAACUGAGACACGGUCCAGACUCCUACGGGAGGCAGCAGUGGGGAAUAUUGGACAAUGGGCGCAAGCCUGAUCCAGCAAUACCGCGUGAGUGAAGAAGGCCUUCGGGUUGUAAAGCCCUUUUGUUGGGGAAGAAAAGCAGCAGGUUAAUACCCCGCUGUUCUGACGGUACCCAAAGAAUAAGCACCGGCUAACUUCGUG